rnacentral:SRP_RNA from 2 species
GCUGGGCGUGGUGGCGGACGCCUGUAGUCCCAGCUACUCGGGAGACUGAGGCAGGGGAAUCGCUUGAACCCAGGAGGUGGAGGUUGCAGUGAGCCGAGAUUGCGCCACUGCACUCCAGCCUGGGUGACAGAGCGAGACUCUGUCUCAA